CAGUCUUCUCUCCCUCAGAUGACAAAAGCCAAUCUUGCCUUUGUGUCUUUUUGCUGAGAACUUGCAUUAAAUCAGUGCGCCUGGCUCAGACUAAAUGAUCCCCCAGGCCCCAUCCUUGUCUGGGUCUUCCAAGAGCAGAAAUUGCAUCCCUUUGGUUAGCCCUAGAUCUGAAGACUCUGCACAGGGUUCAGGAGCCUACAUCCAAUGUAGAAUCACAGCCACCAACUUCAGGACAACAGGGAAGUCAUGGUGCUCUCCUAGAGAUACUGUCCCCUGGUAAGGCAUGCCAGUGCUCAGAAAUCCAGGGGUGAUAUUCAGGUAGUUUGGGUAGCUGCCAACAGUCACUGGGACUGGUCCAGAGAACAGUAGUCUUUCAGAAGCUUUCCAAAAUGCCACGUCCAAUGGGGCAGGCAUUGCCCCCUUACGUGGUUAAAUUUUGUUUCGGAGGAAAUAAAGAAGUGGGGAAAUGUACGUGAAUGUGGCAAGGUUGACAUCCUGAAAGCAGCUGGUACUGUCAACAUGACGUCUGCCUCUCAGAAGGAAACAUAAACUUACAGGGGUUCUUGGUUGCCUGUUGCUUCCAGGCCAAUAGUGGGAUUUGGCGUGUUAUCUUAUCUUUGAGAAGGGAGAGACUAGAAAGAAGGAGGGAAACAGUCAUGUUGUAGCUGAUUGCAGUCUGAUCGAUGUUGGGCAAAUUGCAUCUGAGCGAAAAGUAUUGUAUUUCAUUUUCCCUUUAAAUCAUUUCCACUUGAAAUUCAGAAUUAUCUGCAGUGUUACAAUCAAAUCUCUGAGGCUGUGGCUUUGGGAAUCUUAGGGAAAAAGGAAAGACAUGAAACUGAUGCUUAGCCCCUCUGCCGGGACUCUGACCUGUGCUCUCUGGUGAUACUCUAUUUACUUCUUCAGUUUUCUCUUCCUGCAGUGAUGGAGUGUAAUAUGAUUAUGUGAAGCUCAGUUAGGGAAAGUGAGAAUUUCAAGUCAAGCCCUCAAUCUUAAAGUUUUGACAGCAAAUAAUGGCCCUAUACAACCAUCGUUUCCUUUGGCUCUAGCCCUAGACUCUAGAUUUCUGGUGAUGAGACCGAGUAAUCCAUAAGGCCUUCAAAUUCUAUUUCACAUGAUUAUUAUAUCCUCCUGAAGCUUGUAUCUGGAUCCAGAUACGGGAGGAAUUAUAAAACAAAAACAAGCGGUCCAAAGCAAGCAGCGGCUUCUCUGACCCACAUCCAUGGACACACAGCACCCUGGGCUCUCCAUCCACUACCAACUUCUUGUUCAAGCCUCAGACCCUUAGAAAGCCUUUCCUUGGGCUCGGGGAAUUAGGAGACAGAUUCCUUAUUAUUGUGAAGCUCAGUCUGAGUGAUGGGGAAGAAAUCAGGUUUCUAAUCAAAAAGCAGUAUCUGUGACCCAAGAGAAGGGAACCAGAAUGUGAGAACCAGACCUGUGUCUAAACCCUCUUCAGCCAAACAUUCACUCUAAGAAAUGUCACUAUUCCGUGCCCCAUCCCUAUUCCCAAGCUAUCGUGUUCUUCUUGGAAAGGCCUCCAAUAAACUGGGAGUUAAAUUGUCCAUCUUGAAGGCAGCUACCAGUCACCUGUCGCCUUCUUCUCUUCCUCUAUGUCAGCUCUGUCCCCUGUCUCCGUGCUUCCUGGCUGGGAUUUCAUGCACACAUCCUUAUCCAGCAGAUACACUAUUAUUAGCUUCAAAGGGAACUGAGCCUCUGUGCACUCAGCCCCUUGAUCUCAUCGAGGGCAGCUUUGUAGUUCUCUGAGCUGUGGGGUCUCUAGGCUGGGACCCAGGCUGGGGAGGCAGGGCACAGAUGUUCUAGGCCAGGCCCCAGGGCCAGCCCCAGGCUGGUUACUUGUGAGGCAGUGCUGCGAUGUGCUCCUGGGAUACCCGACAGAUGUUUUUUGGAGCCGGCACCAAACUCCUCGUGGAACCACAAAGCCAGCCUCCUGCCACACCAUCCGUUUUCAUCAUGCGAAAUGGGACGACGGUUGCUUGUCUGGUGAAGGAUUUCUAUCCUAAGGAUAUAGACAUAAAACUCGAAUCAACCAAGAAACUAGAAGAAUUUGACCCUGCUAUUGUCGUCUCCCCCAGUGGGAAGUACAGUGCUGUCAAGCUUGGUCGGUAUGAAGAUCCAAAUUCGGUGACCUGUUCGGUUGAACACAACAGUAAAAUCGUGAGCUCCACUAACUUUGAACCAAGGACAAAUUCUUCAGGUACUGUAAAACCAGAACCAACGGAAACUGAAAACAUAAAGCUAACUCCAAAGAGCAUCAGUGAGCCCAAAGCCACAGUUCAUCACAGUUCACAGUUCACAGCCGGGAAUGUAAACAUGCUGUCCCUCACAGUGCUGGGGCUCCGGAUGGUGUUUGCCAAGAGUCUUGCCAUCAAUUUUCUCUUGACUGCCAAGUUAUUUUUCUUUUAAGGCUGACUGGCUUCAGAAGGCUGCCUUAUGAAACUCCCACAUUAUGUCUUCACAUAAGCCUACAGAGGAGCUGUCUCCUAGACUUCUGGCUUCUCGGUGAUUCAAGGUGACCGAUCCCAGUCUUGCUUAAGUGGCUGCUACCCAAACCAUCAAAGCAACAAACCCAGCUCAUUUUCCAGCUUUGUGGAAAGACACAAGUCCUAGGGAGUAGGGCAUUAUGGUCCUAACUGCUCUAUCUGCUGCUUUAUAAAGGGAUAUAGGACUCAUUUUUUUUAUUAUUAUUUCUACAACAGAUACACUUUGAAAAUAGUGUUUUUUUCCCUUAACUUUCUUUGCCUUCAAAAGUAGAAAGUGGGAGCCAACAGAUUCCCAGCUCCAUACUCCCCGAGGAAAACAGACCCUGGGGGUUGGAGAGAAGAUGCCCUUCACCUAACAGGAAUGGCUCUGUUCAGCCCAGCACUAGGUUUGCCUCAAGCUGGCAUUCUCAUCCACAAAAGCACUUUCUGCUUUCCUUAGUACUUUACAAACAAAAUUACAUUUGACUUCUCAUGCAGCCAAUGGGGUUUCUAAAGCCUCAUCUAAAUACUCUCCAAGCUAUUAGCAAAGAUCAGGGUAAAAUACAGAGAAAAUUACUUUUAUCAAUUGACUUCACAAACAUGAAUUGACUCCUUCUAAGUUCCAGGCACCGAGCUGAGGGUGUAAAGAUGAACGAGAGGUGGGCCUGCUUUCAAGCGACUUACUGUGCAAGCACUUUUGGAGGGAGGGAGAGGAAUGAGACUCCUAGAUUUGGGCUGUAAAAAGAGUAUCUUUACUGGGUUUUGCCUGCCAAUAUAUGCACAGGGAAUUUGAUUUCAGUGGAUGCUGACUCUUGCCUGCCCCUUGUUGUUGAUGGUUUUCUGCCAUUCUCAGUGUUGUCUCUGUUUCAUUUAUUAAAGUGCAUCGAGUGUGCCUUGCCUCUGGCUUUACUCAUAACAGACCACCGCGGGAGGGGGAGAGUGGGUGCUGUGAACUCACUGUUAGGCAGACAAAAGCCAAACUGAACUUGUAGGUCACACCGCAGCUUCCUGAGCCCCAAGCCUGCAGGCUCCUGCCUCGGGGACCCUGCCCUGGGUUUCCGGCUGUUGCUGCUGCUGCUACAGCAAAACAGCAGCAAUGACCCCUCUGUGGCCGAUGGGCUCUGCUACUUCCACAUCAGCAAGGCCACAGCAUUUUCCCAGGUGCACCCACUCAGGUAGCAGAGCCCUUGCAACCCACUAUUGUGGUUUCCUGGGCACCUAGGGUGCUACCUAGGGUGUCAAGCGGGGGCUUAUGGGGUCACAAGUGAAAGAGCAACCCUCACCAACUCCCCCUGAUAUUGCCAUCUGCAGACUCCCAUGUUGUCUUUACAGCCCAAAGCAAAGAAAGGAGGCAGUAGCCCUCUGAGUCAAUGGGUUUAGGACAAUCUACAUGGAUAAGGAGGUCCAUCCAGGGAAGAACCAUUAGAAGAUUCCACACAACUGCACCUCGUGUGUGUAAAGAAUGCCUAUUUCCAAAACAUUCACAUCUGUUACCUUAGGUAACAUUAGCAUGUUUCUAUAAGUGGCAAAGAACAAAAAGAUCACAUCCUCAUUUUUCAGAUGGAAAAAAUACCCCUUCCAAAAAGGUAAUGUACCUUCUUCAAAGUCGUUCAGUGAGGCAGGACGUGGCUGUGAGCAGAACCAUGUUACCAAGAGCACCAGCCCAAAGUUCCUUCUAGAACAUACAGCAUCCCCAAAACAAGGACAAGGUGGUGAUUUGAUUUCAGCUAGACUGGACUUCAGGAUUGUCCGAUAGUUAGCAUAUAAAUGAGCCACCCUCUGAUCUACUUUGGUGGU